rnacentral:rRNA from 1 species
UACGGAGGAUGCAAGCGUUAUCCGGAUUCAUUGGGUUUAAAGGGUGCGCAGGCGGGCUAAUAAGUCAGGGGUGAAAUACUACGGCUCAACCGUGGAACUGCCUUUGAUACUGUUAGUCUUGAGUUUAAUUGAAGUGGGCGGAAUGUAGCAUGUAGCGGUGAAAUGCAUAGAGAUGCUACAGAACACCGAUAGCGAAGGCAGCUCACUAAGUUACAACUGACGCUCAUGCACGAAAGCGUGGGGAUCAAACAGGAUUAGAUACCCUGGUAGUCCACGCUGUAAACGAUGAUCACUCGUUGUUGGCGAUACACAGUCAGCGGCUAAGCGAAAGUGAUAAGUGAUCCACCUGGGGAGUACGAUCGCAAGGUUGAA